GCGGUUAUGAUAGCUAAACGUGCAGAGAGCGAUGGUAACCGUCCAAAUGUCCGUCUAGCUCUCGAACGGUAUUUCAAUGGUGUCACGAAAAUUCCCGGAAACGUUGCCAUAAAAACAUUGAUCAUUCCAAUGACGUGACGUCAACAACGCUUUGACGUUUUACUGUGCUUACUGAUGCCAAAGCGAUACUACGUACCUUCUUCUGGGCCCCGUUUCACGAAGCGAUCUUAGUCCUAAGAUCAACUAAGUGCAUAGGGUAGCUAUGCGCUUAAGGUAAUCUUAGGGCUAAGAUCGUUUCGUGGAACGGGGCCCUGUUCAAUAUAUAUUUUAACUUUAGAAAUGUGCGUACAGAAUCGCUGUUUGGCAUUUAUAAUCGUAUUUAUUUUACAUGUGUGUAUGCCUAAAUGUAAAAUAUCUGCAUGGAUUUAACACUACGUAAUGACGACAGUGACUGCUUUGCUGUUCUGUUGUAAUGUUUUCUCCAAGUGUUGAGUGGAUAUGUAUAUCAACAGAGAUUGAUGAGGAAUGUGUGAAAAUCAUGACAGAUGAAGAGUUAAAGGAAUUUACAUGUACUUCCAGGUUUGGAUAUCGGCUAGCAAAACUACAGUUUGUUGCAGUAAAAUACAUACGAAAGUCUUUUGACAAAAUAAACUUACUCCAAAACCUGAAGCCCAAAUGAGCAGGAACAGCAUGGAGAAGAUAAUGGAGUUGCCACGACCUGCACCAUCAAGACAGGAUGUGCCAAGAAGGCCACAAAGACAGAAUGUCAAGUAGAAGUUAGACUUGAGAACUUUGAUGCAAAGUUGAAAACAUUUAUGCCAAUCAGAACCAAAGGAGGAAUACAUAAAAUCAAGGUAUCUAAACGUUCCAGAAAAGCUGAUUUGACUGACACAGUGAAAAGGAGUUAAUUAUUUCUGAAUGUCAAUUCUGGCUAUGAGUGUGAGGAUGACUUUGAUUAUGACUUAAUGAGACUAUAAACAGGUUAUUUUAGAUGAUGAAGAUUUGACUGUAGAGGAUAUUAUUAAAACAAUAUCAACUUCAGAAGUUGUGUCUAUUUGCUUAAAAAUUUACAAUUUUGGUAUAUUAUAGCAAAUGAGCUUAAAUUUGGAUAUAUUUUUAAACAUAGAAAUCUUCCCUAGGUUAUAAAAACAUUACCUCAUACAUGUCUGCUUCUGACAUUUGAAUAUUUCUCAAAUAAAUGCAUUAAUCAGA